rnacentral:rRNA from 1 species
GACGAACGCUGGCGGCGUGCUUAACACAUGCAAGUCGAACGGAAAGACCCUGCUUUUGUGGGGUGCUCGAGUUGCGAACGGGUGAGUAACACGUGAGUAACCUGUCCUUGACUUUGGGAUAACUUCAUGAAACUGGGGCUCAUACCGGAUAGGAGCUCCUGCUGCUUGGUGGGGGUUGGUUAGAUUCGGCGGUUGGGGAUGGACUCGCGGCUUAUCAGCUUGUUGGCGGGGUAGUGGCUUACCAAGGCUUUGACGGGUAGCAGGCCUGAGAGGGUGACCGGCCACAUUGGGACUGAGAUGCGGCACAGACUCGAACGGGAGGCAGCGGUGGGGAAUAUUGCACAAGGGGCGGAAGCCUGAUGCGACAAAGCCGCGUGCGGGAUGACGGCAUUGGGGUUGUAAACCACUUUCGCCUGUGACGAAGCGUGAGUGACGGUAAUGGGUAAAGAAGCACCGGCUAACUACGUG